rnacentral:misc_RNA from 1 species
AAGUCGUAACAAGGUUUCCGUAGGUGAACCUGCGGAAGGAUCAUUAAAAUAAUAAUGAAUGUCGGGGGGAGGGCGCUUCGGUGCUUUUUCCCCCGUGUAUUCAACCAAACCCGCUCGUGUAUUUGGAUCAACCAAAAAAAUCAAAUAAAAUUUUUAACGAUAAUAAUUAAACAAACUUUCAACAACGGAUCUCUUGGCUCUC